GCACACGUAACCCCCGUGGCUACGAACCACGAGAAAGGUAAUGGAUGCAAAUGCAGGUUCGAGUCCUGCCGUGUGCUCCA
rnacentral:tRNA from 1 species